GCAGAGCCCGCCUGCCCUUUUCUCAGACUCCUGUUCUCCAACUGCUACCAACCCCUCUUCCAGGAAGGCCCCUGGAUUCGGCCUGGAUUGUUAUGGCUUGCUUUAAAUGAACUCCCUUGUUCUAAGCUAUUCCCUGUGACUGGUGUCACAGCGUGGCACUCAUCCCUGGCCUGUGUCUACAGGAGCUGUGUCCUGCUGGCUCUGGUGGCCCAUGGGGUUUCCUGCUCCCUUCCUGCCUCCAUGGGAGUUGGCUGAACUGUGGGGACCCUCUGGGAUGACCCAGGGCUUGGCCCCUCACUGUUUUCCUGCCUGGGCCCCAGCUGGCCCCUGUCCCCUCUGAGUGCCCUCACACAGACCCAGUGCAGCUGUCCCAGUGGGGCUGCGGCCAGGCCAGUCUCUCUCUUGCUCUGCACCCCCGGCUCUUUCCUGGCAGCCCUUGUGCUUUUUCCGGAGCCCCUCAUCCCUGAGGCUGCCCCGUGGCCCUGUGCCUGGCCCUGAAUCCCAGGCAAUCCUCCCUUGCUGCCGCCACCACCCCGGCCUCCCCGAGGCUUCCAUCCUAUUGGUGUUGUGAGGUUAGGGUCUGCAAGCCCCUUUUUCCAGGAAAGCCUUUACUGUCUAGUCCUUGGCUAAGGGAGGCUUAGGUGAUCCCUGCUGGCUCAGGUGUUUUCUUCACAUUCUUCCCAGACUGUGGGGCUGGGGAAUCCAAUUCUGAGUUCUGCUCUUGGUCUCACUUUACCCCAAUUCCCCUGGAUUGCAGGUCCCAUCUGCAGCUUCCUGGUCUCUGCAUCUGAGGACUCCCACGUGGGGAACUGGUUGGCCCCAUGAGCCUCCUUCCCAAGGCCCUUUGUCUGUAAGGAAGGAGACCUGAUGCUAGGUGUGCAUUGGAGGUGACGGUUCUGGCCUCCCGCUGUCACUGUCUUCCCAACCCUGCACCUGUGGGUCACCCUCUGCUCCUUGUUGUCCAGGCUGCUCUCGGCCCUGCCGUUCUGGGAGCUCAGCCAUCGCCCCCUCCCUCAGGCACGUGGGGACAUGUCAGGAAGCUAGGGCUUUUCUGCUUUCCCCACCACUCCUGCCUGGAGGGUUUCACGACUAGACUCCUAGGGCCCAACCUCCAGUUGAGGCCCAGGCUGCCUCUCCAGCAUAUGCUGGCAGCCCCUUCUCCUUCCCUAGGCCUAGGGCCCCAGCCUGCUGUCAGCUCUCCCCUCUCCUUAGCACCAAGCCCACGACACCCAUUCUUACCCAGUCCCCACCCCAAAUCCCCCUCUCUCUGUUGGCCUCCUCUAAAACUGCCCUCACCUGCAUCUCAGACCGCGCAUCUUCCGUCCUUCCCGUCCUUGCCAAACUAAGCAAGGUCACGUGUGAAGGAGUUCCCAGGGGGGUGAAACUCCUCCAGCAACUCUCGCCUCCCCUGAUUUAGAUAACUCCCAGAAUCUGCCAUGGUCUAGGGGAGAAAACUCACUCAUCUGCCCCUCUCUCUUCUCACUUUCUUUUCAAACAAAUUGUAUGGCUCAAUCCCCAUAUGUUAAGCACCAUGGCUGUGAAUUUAUAGACUUCAGUCCGGUUUCUAUUGCAGAGAACAGAAUUCUCUGUAACUAAUUUAAGCAGGAAAAAAAAUUCACAAGAGGAAACCAAGUGGUGGAUGGAAUUGUCAGGAGGGCUGCAGACCAGACUCAAGGGUGGCCUUUUCAAACUGACUUUAAAAAUAACUACGCAGGACUGACCCACCAAGGAAGCUGCCACCUGUUUCUGCUUCAUGGGGCUGCUGAGGGAAUGAAUCGGUCCCUCGGGGGGCCCUGGGCUGCUGGUGCCAGGAUCACAGCAGCUGCAUGGGUACCCCUUGGGUGCUGGCAAUGGGCUGUGGACUCUCAUUCUAGGGCAGGGACGAUGGCAGUAGAAACAUCUCUCUGCCUCACUGCUUCCUUCCAAGGCUCUCAGAAGAGCAUCUGAUCUGUAGAGCCCAAACAUCUGUCCUGCAGCUUUAAGAGGGUUUGGCAGGGUUGGGCUGAUGCCUCACAUCUGGUGUGUGGACCAGGGUGUGUUUAUUUCCUCGGCAGCUCCAUGAAGUAGGGGCUUUACCCCUGCUCUACACUUUGGGGGAAAGACUCAGAGACAGUAAUUGCCCCAAGCAAGCACAGCAUACCCAGAAGAGCUGGAAGGAGCUCUAACCCACUUUACUCCCAAACUUUGCCUGUUCCCCUGGAGGUCAGGGCCCAAAGACCUGAGUCCCAGAUCGGGCAUGGCCCAACGUCCCAACCUUAGGCCAGUGGAGUGUCAAGAGAUGCCACCUGUACAAUAAUCCCGGGGCCUGUGCCGGCCCUGUCAACCCCUGCAUCUCGUGUCUUGUUGCUAAAAUUCUGGUUCCUGCUGAGAUGUCUGCUCCAAAUCUUUCCUUUAAAGAUGGGAAGAAUGAGCCCCCAAAAAUAAGGGUUGGAAACGGAGAGAGCCUUCCUGUGGUCAUAGGAAGCAUGAUCAGGGAAGAAGAGGUCACGUCUGGCAGUUAUUUAGAUUAUAACCCAGAGACGGGGGUGGGGAGGAGGCAGGUGGCACCAGGAUUAAGGGGGUCCCUGCCACAGGGCAUGUAUGUGAGAAGGGUCUGCUCUGACCCUCUCCUAGCCCCCUGUUCUUCCCCACGGGCUGAUGAGUCUGCAGGGCCCACGGGCAUUCCCAGACACUUUCCACUUGACCAUGCUGCAAGCACCUGGGAUGCCAGGAUUGACUGUCCAGUUGGCCCCGGACAUGCUUCCAAGGCCUGUCCUUCCCAGGGUGGACUGUGCCACCCAUGUGGGCACUCCUAGGCAUGAGAGAUGACCAAGGAGUAGCUGCGUGUGGGAGGUGUAGGCAGAGCUUGAAUGCGUGGGGUGGCAGUCUCUAUGCAUGCCUGUGAGACCCUGUAAGUUGUGAAAUAGUGCUGUGGGCGAGAAGAGGGUGUCCUAUGGGCCAGAGAAUGGGGCUUGACUUUCCAUAGGCCACCACAUUUAGGGAGGCCAGGAAUUUGAAAUUCAAACCUGUUAGAGGUCAUCAUGAAGGUACAUUUGUCAAGGCAGGAGGAUAUUCUAACAGUUUGUUAGCUGAAUGGAGAACUUUUCAGUAUUUAGACACACAGGAUUUGGGCUUCCCUUUGUACUCAUGCCCAGGCCUAGAAAAUACUAGGGAUAGGCCUGGGCUCUGAGUUAAUGGGGCCUGGGGGUAGAAGUCAGAUGGUGUGGGAUGGGCCCCCUGUUUGGAGGAAAAGGCUAUACAUGGAGGAAAAGGAAGAGGAAGUGGUUUUGCUGUUUUGUGUCUGGGCAGGAGCAGGGUGGGCUUGGAAGGCUGCUCACAGAGGAGGGAACGACCCUGUGGGGACUGGGGAGGUGGAAGGGGAGAUGGCGUCACUUGGGCUCAGGAGUUGAGUGGGGCUGGCAGGAACUUCUCCUGGGGGUGGGAGGAAGGUGGGAUGGAACUGGCAACUCAUGGAGGGCAGGAUAAGGGGGUAGGGAGGAGGAGGGGCUCAGAAAGUCACUUUACAUUUGGAGUGUCUUCCUUUUGCCCUUUCCGGCUAAGUAAAAAGCAUAUUUUUCUCUUUUCUGCUGCUCAGCAGCAUCUCAUGGCCCCAGUGCUUUUCCUAGUUUCUUGCUCUGAGGGUCAACUCACAAGUCUUCUUCUACAUGCCAUGUGAGGCACCAGCCCUGGCUGGCACCUGUGGUGGGAAGGCCUAAAGGAGACAGCACCUCUGUCUCUGGGGAGCUGCCGGGAUGUGGCUGUCCCUUAGCUGUUUAUAACGGUCCUUUGACAUGGUUCAGGUGAGGGUUAAAGGCGGGAAGUAACCCUAGGAGACAGUGGAGCCUCGAGGGGCUCAGUCCCUGCUGUAAACCCCAUUCCAGAGGGCACAGUCCACCCAUCACAUAGCACUAGAGGGGAGCGCCGCGCUUCACUCUGCCCACUGCAGUGAGGCUUCUGGGCCAUCUUGGUUCUUCAUCUCCAUUUUUGUUCUGCCUUGUACGAGCCUCUUCUUUGUUCUGCUUUGUUGCCUUAUGGCCAGAGCUGCUCUUGCCUCCUGUUUUGUGUCUGAUAUUUCAGUUUCUGCAGCUCCCAUUUCCUGUCUUUGGCCCCUGCUUUCCCAGCUGCUUUCGGUCUAAGGAGCUUUCUGACUUUAGCACCUGAGAGUGGAAGUCUCCCCACUGACUCCCUGUUGACAGCUGAUCAUCGACUCCCCUCAGUCUCACCCUGAGCUGUCCCUGUGCCAGCCGGAUGGAGGUUGCUCAGCGGGGGUGGCGUGGGGUGUACAGAGGUACGUGGUCCACGGCUCUUAACUGGAGGACUUCACUGAGGGACGAGUCACCCACUGUGUGUCCGCACUGUGCUCACACACAGAGCUUCCAGUGCCACCUCACAAGAGAGCCAUGAGGGUGGCCUUAAUCCAGGUCUCCAUCUCUCUCUUGGAUUCCUGCCACAGCUGGAGACAGUCAUGGAGGUGCUAAAGUGUCGACUCACUGAUUCCCUACUUAGUGCACUCCUCCAAGCCCCAGGGCUUCCAAUACCAACAUAUGGAUAUAUGUUGGUGACUUCCAGCCCCACGUCCAUCUCAGAUAGCCCAGCGGCCCCCAAUCCUCCUGCUUCCUAUGUAAGUGGCAGUCCCCUGCCGCUCAAGCCAACAUGAUGGGCCUUUUUUUUGGAGCUAGUCUCCACCUUCCCCUCAUCUCAUACUGACUUGAUCUUGACAACUCAUCUCAAUCUGGCUGCUCCUCUCCAUGUACCCAUUCCCCUUGGGGUGCAAGCCACACCACCCUUCACUUGGGGGAUGAUAGCAGCCAGUGGGCCCACAUCUGGCUGUGCCCCUCAUCUGUUAAAUAAUCUCACAGGCUCUUCCAGCCAUGCUGAGAAGGCCCAUCACUGACUCGUGCCUCUGGACCUUGGCACCUGCCAGAAAUGGUAGUCCCACUCCCCCUGCCAGUGAUUGGCUUAGGAAUGGCCACGGGACCCAGUUCCAACCAGGAAGAGGAAGUGGGACGAGCAGAAUGAUCCUCCUUUAGAAUCGGUUGUAUCUAAUUGGGAUGCAGAUGCCCGAAACUCUGCAGUUUAGGAAACACUAGGGCCCUCUCUGUGAAACAUUGAGAUGUCCAAGUGGAAAGAGAACAAAUCCUGUAUUCGAAGAAACGGUGGACCGAGGCUCGCCCCGGCGGACCUGGACCUGCGUGCCUCUGCCUUCUCAUGUGAACUGAUGUCUCUUGCUUGAACUCACUUGAGUAAAGGUUUUGUGCCACUUGUAGCACGUGCAGAUGUAACCAUCAACACGGAACUCCUACUUCCUGGAGACUGUGGGGGAUUUGAACUUACUGUAGGUUCACGGAGUGACAAAGCUGUUUCUAGGGCCGAUGCAGCCGUGAGCCAUGUGAAUAGGAUCACGGGGUCUGAGCUGGGGGAGGUGAGGGUUCUGUGCUCUCCCGUACUGGUCAGACUCCACCUGGAGAGGCUAUGGUCAGUCCAGGGUGAAUAUGCCAGGAGGGAGGUUGACCCGCCAGGUCCACCUGCUGAGAAUGAUAGCAAUUAGAAGGGUUGGGAAUCCCUGCCACGCAAGGGAUGAGUGAGAAAAUGGGGCUUUUUCUCCUGGCAAAGAGAAGGUUGGCUGUGGGACUUCACUUCGGCUUCAGAUGCGUGCAGGGUGAUGUGUGGAGGGGGUGGCCACGCUCGUGCUGCUGACCAAGAGGAAGUCAAAGACAGUACAGAGUUUGUCAACAAUUGAGGGCAAAUUCAGACUUCAGUGGGUAUCAUUCUCACCCAGGGAAGUUGGUAAAAACAGAAGGGCCCAGGCCCUGUCUUUCAAUAAGCCUGGACUCCAAGUUGUUAGCACUCUAGGGGGUUCUAGGGCACCGCAACAUUUUUGCAAUGCCUGACUCAAGGGAAGGAAGCCAACAUUUGUGAGGCAUUUAACGUGAGCCACGUGUUGAGCUGGACCCAUCCCUGUGGCUCCCAUUUGAUUUUGACACAGAUUCUUAGAGCCAAGCACUGCUACAGAUGGUUUUGGGAAGUGUAGUGAGUUCCCCAUAAGAAGUGUGGCUAAAAAUCAGUAAGAAAAGGAUGAUCAGUGUGAGAGGAAAAGGAGAGUAGGAAAAGAGAAUUCUUAGAUGAAGCCAUAAAAAUGGCGAAGAAACCUAUGCAAAGAUACUCCUCUGUUGUGGCAGAGAUCACAAGCUGUUCUCCAGUAUCCACCUUCCCUUCUUCCACAGGAGCAAAACCCUUGAUUUUCAGCCAGGCAUGUGGUCUAUUAUUAAGACAUUCCCCAACCUCCCGUCUAGCAUGAGGCCCCGUACUCAAGUUCUGGUCAGUGAGAAGUAGCAGAUUCCAGGAACCGUCCCAAAAAGGCAGCUGACAGGUGUUCCUUAUUUCCUUUUUCUUUAUCUUUUUCUUGUGGCUGGAAUACGAGACAUAAUGGUUGGGGCUCCAGCAGCCUUAUAGGGCAGUGAGGAGACCUUGGGGACAGAGAGCCCACAUAGCAAAGUAAUAAGAGGAGGGGUCUGCGUGACCAAAACCAUGGAGUAGAGCUGACAUGCCAGCUCUAGACUGCCGUCCUCCUGAUUUUACUUAAGCAAUAAAUGUCUGGCUGGAGUCUCUGUUAUUUGUUCCUCUGCCUAUUCCUCGCUGAUAACAACAGAGAAAUACAAAACAAGACAAUGAACUUUCCAAACUCCUGAUCACUUUUCACUCACGAGAUUGGCAGAAACCUAAAAAGACGAUGAUAUUGUUAGAGACAGUGUAGUGCUGUGGUUCACAUCCCUCCUGCUCUGGACUUACCAGCUGUGGGAACAUGCACAAAGUGUGUAAUCCUCUGUGCCUCAGUUUCCUCACCUAAAAAAUGAGUGUCAAACCCAGUACUACCCCACAGAGUCAUUGUGAGGGAUCAGUGUUUAGAACAGUGCCCCAUACAGAGCACACAUAAGUGUCUGCCAUGACUAUUACUAUUUAGCUGGCGUACCUGAGGUGGGUGCGCAGGUGUAGAGGAAAGACGUUCACGCCUGGCCAGGAGUGUGAAACGUAGACAGCCAUUUCAGAGGGCUCUUGAUGUUUCAAAACUUUCAAACUACAUACAAGACUCCCCCCAAGGUGCCCCCUCUAACCCUGAAAUUCCACCUCUAGGACCCUGAAUCCCUUGGGGUCAAACGUGUUUCAGAUUUUCGGAAGGUAACUUGGCGCAUAUGCCCCAUCCUGUGUUACUCUUCCCCGGGGUCUGGGGCUGCCCCAUGCUGUAGACCCUCUGGGGUGUUCAGCCCACCUUAAGUGCACCUGGGGAAUUCUGGGGAGUGAAGGCACUUCGGGUAACCCUCAGCUGGUAGAGCCCAGGGGCAGGUGGGUAAGUGCCCAGCAGCCUCUAGUCCUUCAGAGAAGCACCCCACAUUGCUCAGGAGGUCCUAGAGAAGUCGACCGCCCCCUCCUGCAGUGCCCUCUGCAGUGACCUCCGUAAUGACCCUUGUAUUAUCUUCGCCCAACCCCCGUCUCACUCUCCCCGAUUGCUUCCUCCUGGAUUCUGGUGUCACCUUCCAAAAAAACACCUGCACUCAAGUCCUGUCUCAGGCUUUGCUUUUGGGGAACUCAGCCCAAGACAACCCCCUGAUGAAACACAUUAUUUCUUCAGCAAGCUGCACAUAUAUCACAGCAAGUGGGAGAAACAAAAGACGCUGAACACUCUCACGUCAAUUUGGGUCAGGUUUGCUGGCAAAUAGGUAGAAGAAAAGACGUAUGGUUCUGGGAGCAUUUGGGUUUCAUGGCUGUGGAUAUGGGACUGGACUGCACUCUGCGGAGCACAAAGGCACCCUCUCUUGCUGAGUUCACUCGGUGUGAGUGGAGAGGCUCCCCCGGCCAUGGACUGCACUCAGAAGGCCUGAGACAACAGCAGUCACCAGGAGUUGGGCCCUCCAGGAGCUGACACUCGAGUGUAGAAGAUGUCUGCUGGGGCUUCUGGCAACACUUGGGAAGGGGAGCCCUUGGGUGGGGAGACAAGGCCACAAUCGAUAGGUGCUCAGGGAUGGCCCCGCUGCAGAGGUGAGGUCUGAGAAGGGACUUGACAAUGAGAGGAAGCCUAGGACGCCAGCACCACCUCCACCUCGCCACGACGGCAGGUGCUCCUGAUGGGUCUCAGGGCGAGCGCACCCUCUGCCAGUGACAGGUCAGGUGUGGGCUAUGACCAGUCUCAGCCAAUGAGACAUCAGGGAGGGCCCGCAGGUGGCCUUGGGCCCGGCCAGCCUGGAUGCUGAGGCUGACCUACGAGGCUGACUUGAGGUGGGGAAGAGCAGAACAGGCAAACGGCCAGUGCUCACCCUGCUCCCUGCCAGGCAGCACUGUGGAUGGGCUUGUGGCCCACGUGAGACUGAGCAGCGAUUUCUGUCACUUGCGGCAGAAAACCUCCCACUGGCUAGCAAGCACCUUGUCCAUCCCAAGGGACAGACUGACAGGCUAUGGCUUGUCCCCAUCAUGGAACACAGCAGAGCGCCGAAAACAAAGAGGGGGUAUCCUCCCGUCCUGAAAAGGAACCAGCGACGAGAGAUGUCAUCUGUUCUCAACCAGGGGUAAUUUUGCUCCCUAGGUAGGUUGCCAGGUUAAGGAAAUAAAAAUGCAGGGCAGCCAGUUCAAGCUGAAUGUCAGACAGUGCAUAUUAACUAGAUGUCCUGUGUUUACUGUGGCAACCUUACCCCCAGGGGACAUUUGGCAAUGUCUGGAGGCAGUUUUGGUUGUCACUGGGGAUGGUUAGGUGCUACCAGCAUCUGGUGGGAAGGCACCGGGGAUGCUGUUACACAUUUCACAAUGCAUACGACAGCUGAGGCCAAAAAAAAAAAAAAAAAAAAAAAAAUUAUCCAGCCUAAAAUGUCAGUUGUAACAAGGGUGAGAACCCCUGUAUUAAAUGAAAGAUAGCAAAAACCCCAUAAGAACCCCAUAAGAUAUGGUAGGAUCUCAUUUGUACGUCCUGUAUUUACUCUGGCAACCCUACCCCCAGGGGACGUUUGGCAAUGUCUGGGGUUGUUACUGCGGAUGGGGUUGUGUGUGUGUGUUUCUUUUUUUCUUUUUACACACCCAACUAAGCCAUAGAGUCGCAUAGAAAAAGGUAUGGAAGGUCACAUACCUAAGUCAUGUGGGGUAGGGAGUGGUCAUUCCUUUUACUCUAAAUACCUUCUGCAGUGUUUUAUUAUUUGUGAAGUUAAUUAUAAUUGAAGUGAAUAUAUACGUGCAUACACACACACAGAAAGCAUGCCUAUCAAAACAAUAGAUAUUUCACAAAGUGAACGCACACAUGGCAUGGCCUCCUGAUGAAGAUGAAGAACAUGGCCACUGCUCCAUGAGGCCCUUUGCAGCCCUGCCAGCCUCUCCCUCGAGGGCUGCGAGGGGAACUGCUGUCCUGACUUCCAACCUGCUUUGGGCUCCACAUGAACCGAAUUCUGCCCGACGUCCUCGCUUGAGACUGGCGUCUUUCCCUCAGCAACGUGUCAUGAUUCAUUCAUGUGGAUCGGAGCAGCGGUUGGAUCAUUUUCAUUGCUGUGAAAUACACCACAAUGGAUUUAUGCAUUCAACCGUUGAUGGACAUUUGGGUCGUUUCCCGUUUGGCAAGAUGAUGAAGAAAGCUGGUAUGAGCAUUCUUUCACACGUCUUUUCUUGGGCAUAUGUACUCACUCCUGUUGAGUGUAAACCUAGGAAUGAAUCGCUCAGUCAUAGGGCAAAUGUGUGUUCCUCUUUCCUAGAUACCAUUCGAGUUUCCAAAGUGCUUGCACGGGUUUACGCUGCCAUCCACCAGAGAUGAAAGUUCCGCCUGGGCUGCUGCCUCCUGGCCAAGCCUGGCUGGGUUGUAGCUUUUGCGCUUUAGUCCCUCUGGUGGGUGUGUAAAUUGCUAAUCACUGUGAUUUUAAUUUGCAUUUCCCUGAUGAUGAAGCUGAGCACUUUUUCAUAACUUUAUGGGCCAUUUGAUUGUCCUCUUUUGUGAAAUGUCUAUUCGGGCCAUUGGUCCAUUUUUCCAUGAGGUUAUCUCCAUUUCUCUCAUUGAUUUGUAAUUAAGAGUCCUGUUGCAAAUCUCUUUUCCCGCCGUGCGGCUUCUUGCCUUUUCCUUUGCUUACAAUGCUCCAUGCUGUCCUGGACCCUAGCAUCACCCAGGCCUAGGUAAUAGAAGGGUGGCUUUUGUAAAGCGACUCAAGGCUGAGAAGGGAACAGACACUCUUAGCACAAUAAGCUACAGGCUGAAAAACAGCCGGAGGUGAAUGCAGCGUGAAUGGUCUGGCUGUCUUUUAUAAAAGUAACUCGAUUGGACUAGACCCCAUGAGGGCCUCUGCUCCUCCGCUCCCCUUUCCCUGAGGACCUAAUUCCCCACUGGGUCAGCCACAGAACCAGAUAGAGCUGGGGACUCACGACCCAUGCUGAAGACUGGAUGCAAGAGGAGGAAGGACUUUGGUGGAGAGAAGGAAUCAAAAGGAACCAAGGUACACAGCUGGGGGCAGGGGAGGUGAGAACAUGGGAGAGGGUUCUGGGAAGGGGCUUACUGCUGUCAUGGGCAGGACACAUUGAGUAGACCCCUUCCUGUGGUCUCCGUGUAGGCCAGAGCCACUUCUCUGCCUUUCUAUGCAGCCACUUUGCCCCUUGCCUGAAUCACUGUAGCAUCCUCUUAACUGGCCUGCCUGCUUCAGCCCUGGCCAUCCUCCACCCCGACCUGUGCCCAGCAGCCAGAAGUAGCAAGAUCGUUAAAAACGAACAUCAG
rnacentral:lncRNA from 1 species